rnacentral:ncRNA from 2 species
GAUGGUCUUUGGGGCUAGGUGAGAAAGCAUUGCUUUCAAUUCCUGACCGGCGGUUAUAGUCCGCUACCCUCAGUAAUGAGGCUGAACCGAUGAGAUUUCGGUACCGACAGUACAGUCUGGAUGGGAAAAGACGCAU